GACGAACGCUGGCGGCGUGCCUAAUACAUGCAAGUAGAACGCUGAAGCUUGGUGCUUGCACCGAGCGGAUGAGUUGCGAACGGGUGAGUAACGCGUAGGUAACCUGCCUGGUAGCGGGGGAUAACUAUUGGAAACGAUAGCUAAUACCGCAUAAGAGUAGAUGUUGCAUGACAUUUGCUUAAAAGGUGCAAUUGCAUCACUACCAGAUGGACCUGCGUUGUAUUAGCUAGUUGGUGAGGUAACGGCUCACCAAGGCAACGAUACAUAGCCGACCCGAGAGGGUGAACGGCCACACUGGGACUGAGACACGGCCCAGACUCCUACGGGAGGCAGCAGGAGGGAAUCUUCGGCAAUGGACGGAAGGCUGACCGAGAAACGCCGCGGGAGUGAAGAAGGUUUUCGGAUCGUAAAGCUCUGUUGUAAGAGAAGAACGAGUGUGAGAGUGGAAAGUUCACACUGUGACGGUAUCUUACCAGAAAGAGACGGCUAACUACGUG
rnacentral:rRNA from 1 species